rnacentral:tmRNA from 1 species
GGGGGCGUUACGGAUUCGACAGGUACAGUUUGAGCUUGAAUGGCGCUUCGUAGGUUACGUCUACGCUAAAACGUUAACAGUUAAAUAUAACUGCUAAAAACGAAAACACUUUCGCUCUAGCUGCGUAAAAACAGUUGGCGAAGAUCCUUCCGGCAUCACCCAUGUGCUCGGGUCAGGGUCUCAAAUUAAGUGGGAUACGCUAAAUGUUUCCGUCUGGAAUGUUUAGAAGAGAUUAUCAGGCUAGCGAAGAAGACUGUUUGUUUUGUGUCAAAUCUCUUAGCGAAACCUUAAACACAAAACUAUGAGCGUAGAAGUUUAAGUGUCGAUGUGCUUGGACGCGGGUUCGACUCCCGCCGCUUCCAUUG